rnacentral:rRNA from 1 species
AACGAACGCUGGCGGCAGGCCUAACACAUGCAAGUCGAGCGAAGCCUUCGGGCUUAGCGGCGGACGGGUGAGUAACGCGUGGGAACGUGCCCUUUGGUACGGAAUAGCCCCGGGAAACUGGGAGUAAUACCGUAUGUGGUCGAGAGACGAAAGAUUUAUCGCCAAAGGAUCGGCCCGCGUUGGAUUAGGUAGUUGGUGGGGUAAUGGCCUACCAAGCCGACGAUCCAUAGCUGGUUUGAGAGGAUGAUCAGCCACACUGGGACUGAGACACGGCCCAGACUCCGACGGGAGGCAGCAGUGGGGAAUCUUAGACAAUGGGGGAAACCCUGAUCUAGCCAUGCCGCGUGAUCGAUGAAGGCCUUAGGGUUGUAAAGAUCUUUCUGUGGGGAAGAUAAUGACUGUACCCACAGAAGAAGCCCCGGCUAACUCCGUGCCAGCCGCCGCCGUAAAAC